UAACGGGGCUAAACCAUGCACCGAAGCUGCGGCAGCGAACGUAUCACCCAAGACAACUUUACGGAGUUGACGAUUGACGGAGCGAAGCGACGUCAAAGCGUUCAUUAAAGUCGAGUUGGCUUAGGGAUACGUUCGUUGGGUAGGGGAGCGUUCUGUAAGCCUGUGAAGGUGUGUCGUGAGGCAUGCUGGAGGUAUCAGAAGUGCGAAUGCUGACAUAAGUAACGAUAAAGCGGGUGAAAAGCCCGCUCGCCGGAAGACCAAGGGUUCCUGUCCAACGUUAAUCGGGGCAGGGUGAGUCGACCCCUAAGGCGAGGCCGAAAGGCGUAGUCGAUGGGAAACGGGUUAAUAUUCCCGUACUUGGUGUUACUGCGAAGGGGGGACGGAGAAGGCUAUGUUGGCCGGGCGACGGUUGUCCCGGUUUAAGCGUGUAGGUGUGUGUUCCAGGUAAAUCCGGUUCACUUUAACACUGAGGCGUGACGACGAGGCACUACGGUGCUGAAGCAACAAAUGCCCUGCUUCCAGGAAAAGCCUCUAAGCAUCAGGUAACAUCAAAUCGUACCCCAAACCGACACAGGUGGUCAGGUAGAGAAUACCAAGGCGCUUGAGAGAACUCGGGUGAAGGAACUAGGCAAAAUGGUGCCGUAACUUCGGGAGAAGGCACGCUGACACGUAGGUGAAGUGAUUUACUCA
rnacentral:rRNA from 1 species